rnacentral:rRNA from 1 species
AUGAAGAGGUCCCAAAUGAUAAAGAAAAACUAUGUUAGGAGUAUGGGCAUCUCCACCACUUGUUUCAAUAAAACCAGAGGAUUUUAUGAUUAUGAAUUUGGUUCGAAAUAUGUUAAUGAUAUGUGCACUCGAUCUGAGCCAAUAUCCGAUGAAUUGAAAAGUGUUAAAUGGCCCAUGGAUAAAUUUAUAUUUGUUCACAAGUAUCAGAAAUCUGGAAUGGUGACACUACAUAUUCAAUUCAAAUUUGAAAAUACAUCUGAUCCCAGCUACGGAGGUCGCCAUGUGCCUCAAAGGAGUCUCCAUCGCAACUCUGGUCGUCUGCAAUUACACUAG